rnacentral:tRNA from 1 species
GACGAGGUGGCCCGAGUGGUUAAAGGCGAUGGACUGCUAAUCCAUUGUGCUUUGUUGCGUGGGUUCGAAUCCCAUCCUCGUCG